rnacentral:lncRNA from 1 species
AUAGAUUGGGUGACCAUGCCCUCUGCUCCUUAUCCUGACCCAUGAAGACAUUCUGAAGGGCCCAAGGUUAGGACCCCUCGGUGCAGUGGGUCUUGAGGGCGCAAAUUGUAAUCUGUUCCCACAAGUUCCCUCAGGCAUUGCCCCUCCCUCAGUCCCACCCCCAGCUAGCCCAUUAACGUGACCCUUGGUUGUCUCAAAGCUCGGGGACUCCUCCUCCUGAAGGUGUGGACAGGCGUGGCUUGUGGCAUGGGCGGGGCUUGGGCUCAACCUAGGGAUUUCAGGAUCUGCCCCCUCCUUUCUGUUCUUCCUCCCCUCCGGGAUUGGCCAGUUCUCUCCACACUGUCCCAUUUGGGGUUUCUUCAUCUUCAUACACCACACUCCUGCUUUCUUUUUGGUUCUGGGGCGGACUUCACGAACCCCAGACUCUGCGUCUCCACGCCAAGCCAUCAAGCCCUGUUUGCCUCACCCUUUCCUCCUACCCACCCAAGUACCCACCCUGGAUCCGCGCCAUUCCUCACAAUGUACUCCUCCUGUUCUCAUGAGCCCAAUCCAUGUCCCCCUUUCGGAAAUACUUCCCCUAUUGCCCUCACUUUCUCACACAGAGUCAAACAAAGACUCACGAGCCCAGAAAUAAACUCCCACAGAGCUGAAA